rnacentral:rRNA from 1 species
AUGGUUGAAGAAAAGAAACGACAGCGGGAGGAAAAUAAGCUCAUGAAAGAAGCUAUUAAAGCUCAAAAGGCAGAGCAGAAGAAAUAUGCAAAAGAAAAAGACGAGUGGGAAUCAGGAAAACAUGCUUUAAAAUCUAUUGUGGCUGAGAUCGACUCAACAAUCAUUGAAACUGGCUCAGUUGGAGGUACCCUUCUAACAAGGUUUGCGGAGAAGGGCCUUAAGUAUCGAGUUCAGGCUAAUCCAAUCAAGGGAUCGAUUUUGUGGAAGAUGGAGGUUCCUCAAAUUGGCCAGGACCCAGCUUCAGUGGCAGAAGUACCGUAUAUUCUAUUUGUGCUUCAAGCUGAGGAAUUCUGCGAUCUUAUCAGCAGUGGGUUCUUCUGGGAUCAUGUUCGCCUUGUUCAAGAUCGCUAUCCAACAUUCACUGUUUGCUACGUCACUAAUAAAUUGAUGAACUACAUAAAUAAAUGCGAGCGGGCUCAGUAUAGGAAUGCACCCAAUGUUAAUAGCUGGAAACGCCCACCAGUGGAAGAGGUUUUAUGCAAGUUAGCAACACACCAUGUUAAAGUUCACUCAAGGCAAUGCACAGAUGAAGCUGAAGUAGCCGAGCAUGUUGUUGGCUUGACAUCUAGUCUUGCAAAUUGCAGAUUCAGGAAACCACUGUCAUGGUUAUCUGUCCAUGCUAAUGGUGCAGUGAUCCCUAAAAAUUUCAUUGAUAAAGAUCUGGCUAAGAAAGAUACCUGGAUGAAGGCUCUAAUAGCUAUCCCUAAAGUCCAGCCAAGGUUUGCCCUGGCAAUCUGGAAGAAGUACAGUACCAUGAGAUCCCUUCUGAAAGUAUAUAUGGAUUCCACCAAAACUGUUCGCGAGAAGGAGCUUCUGCUGCAGGACCUGAUGUGCGAGGACCGCGUAGGCGAGGAAAGCCGAAGGCUGGGACCAGUAUGCUCUAGAAGGGUUUACAGGACUCUCAUGGCAGAAGAUGGAGCAGUGGAAGCGGAUGCUGCUGCCGAGUAA